rnacentral:misc_RNA from 1 species
UCUCCGUUGGUGAACCAGCGGAGGGAUCAUUACAGAGUUUUCACAACUCCCAACCCUUUCGAACCGUACCCAUUCUGUUCUCGUUGCUUUCGUCGGGGGGGACUUGGGGUCCCGAAAAGGCCUCCCCGCCCCGCCCGCCGGGGGCGUCGGGCCCUACGAAUCUUUUUAACUCACCCACCAGAAACCGUCAGUGACAACAACCAAAAUAAUGAAUACUUUCAAGAACAGAUCUCCUGGCUCUGGCAUCAGUAAAGAACUCAGCUGAAGUGAAGACCAUUC